rnacentral:rRNA from 1 species
AGAGAAGAAAUGAAGGGCGCAUGGCGGAUGCCUUGGCUCACGGAGGCGAUGAAGGACGCGAUAAGCUGCGAUAAUCCUCGGGGAGGGGCAAAUGCCCAGUGAUCCGGGGGUUUCCGAAUGGGACAACCCGGCCGCCUGAAGGGCGGUCAUCACCACAGUUUGUGUGGUGAGGCUAACGGAGGGAACUGAAACAUCUUAGUACCUCCAGGAAGAGAAAACAACAGUGAUUCCCCCAGUAGUGGCGAGCGAACGGGGAAGAGCCCAAACCGGGCGCCGUCCUUUCGGGCGCGCCCGGGGUAGUAGGACCGGCACGGUCCGAGCGCGACGGCGAGGGGAAGGGCCUGGAACGGCCCGCCAGAGGGGGUGAGAGCCCCGUACCCGAAGCCUGAGCGCCGGCGCCGGCAUCCUGAGUAGCGCGGGGCACGAGAAAUCCUGCGUGAAUCCGCCGGGACCAUCCGGCAAGGCUAAAUACUCCCGUGAGACCGAUAGUGCACGAGUACCGUGAGGGAAAGGUGAAAAGCACCCCGACGAGGGGAGUGAAAUAGUCCCUGAAACCAUGCGCCUACAAGCGGUCGGAGCGCGUUUUCCGCGUGACGGCGUGCCUUUUGCAUAAUGAACCUACGAGUUGCCGUCCGCAGCGAGGUUAAGCGCAACGAUGCGCGCAGCCGAAGCGAAAGCGAGUCUGAAGAGGGCGAAUAGUUGCUGGCGGCAGACGCGAAACCAAGUGAUCUACCCAUGGCCAGGUUGAAGUCCCGGUAACGCGGGAUGGAGGACCGAACCGAUAAGCGUUGAAAAGCUUCCGGAUGAGCUGUGGGUAGGAGUGAAAGGCCAAUCAAACUUGGAGAUAGCUCGUACUCCCCGAAAAGCAUUUAGGUGCUGCCUGGGGUGUUUCGCUCAGGAGGUAGAGCGACCGGUUGGAUGCGAGGGCUUCACCGCCUAUCAAGUCCUGUCGAACUCCGAAUGCCUGCGCGUGAAGCCCUGGAGAAAGGGGGCGGGUGCUAACGUCCGUUCCCGAGAGGAGAAGAAUCCAGACCACCGUCUAAGGUCCCGAAGUCACAGCUGAGUUAGGCUAACGAAGUCUCUUUCCGAUGACAGCUAGGAUGUUGGCUUGGAAGCAGCCAUUCAUUCAAAGAGUGCGUAACAGCUCACUAGUCGAGGAAUCAGGCAUGGAUAAUAAUCGGGUAUAAGCUGUGCACCGAAGCCGUGGGAGCCGUUAUGGCUCGGUAGGGGAGCAUUCCAGUCGCCUUGAAGGCGUGUUGCGAGACAUGCUGGAGCGUCUGGAAACGCAGAUGUAGGUAUAAGUAACGAUAAAGGGGGUGGGAUUCCCCCUCGCCGUAAGACCAAGGGUUCCCGGGCGACGUCAAUCGUCCCGGGGUAAGUCGGUGCCUAAGGAUAAGCCGAAAGGCGAUGCCGAUGGAAGAAGCGGUCAAGAUUCCGCUACUGGCGCGCGCUGCGACGCGGUGACGCGGGAGUGAAACCUCCGCGGCCUGACGGAAUAGGCCGUUGAAGGGUGUAGGAGUCGAUUCCGGCAGUCAAGCACACCGGGAGAUCCGAACCUGACAGUACGC